rnacentral:snRNA from 1 species
GCUCCAAGUGGGCCAUUUU